rnacentral:rRNA from 1 species
CCCAGACUCCUACGGGAGGCAGCAGUGGGGAAUAUUGGGCAAUGGAGGAAACUCUUACCCAGCAAUGCCGCGUGAAUGAAGAAGGUCUUCGGAUUGUAAAGUUCUUUAAUUGGGGACGAAAAAAAUGACGGUACCCAAGGAAUAAGCCCCGGCUAACUACGUGCCAGCAGCCGCGGUAAUACGUAGGGGGCAAGCGUUAUCCGGAUUUACUGGGUGUAAAGGGAGCGUAGACGGUCCUGCAAGCCAGAUGUGAAAGCCCGGGGCUCAACCCCGGGACUGCAUUUGGAACUGUAAGGCUAGAGUGUCGGAGAGGCAGGCGGAAUUCCUAGUGUAGCGGUGAAGUGCGUAGAUAUUAGGAGGAACACCAGUGGCGAAGGCGGCCUGCUGGACGAUGACUGCCGUUGAGGCUCGAAAGCGUGGGGAGCAAACAGGAUUAGAUACCCCCGUAGA